rnacentral:rRNA from 1 species
AGCGAACGCUGGCGGCAGGCUUAACACAUGCAAGUCGAGCGGGCGUAGCAAUACGUCAGCGGCAGACGGGUGAGUAACGCGUGGGAACAUACCUCUUGGUUCGGAACAACACAGGGAAACUUGUGCUAAUACCGGAUAAGCCCUUACGGGGAAAGAUUUAUCGCCGAGAGAUUGGCCCGCGUCUGAUUAGCUAGUUGGUAGGGUAAUGGCCUACCAAGGCGACGAUCAGUAGCUGGUCUGAGAGGAUGAUCAGCCACAUUGGGACUGAGACACGGCCCAAACUCCUACGGGAGGCAGCAGUGGGGAAUAUUGGACAAUGGGGGCAACCCUGAUCCAGCCAUGCCGCGUGAGUGAUGAAGGCCCUAGGGUUGUAAAGCUCUUUUGUGCGGGAAGAUAAUGACGGUACCACAAGAAA